CCUACGGGGGGCAGCAGUGGGGAAUUUUGGACAAUGGGCGCAAGCCUAAUCCAGCCAUGCCGCGUGUCUGAAGAAGGCCUUCGGGUUGUAAAGGACUUUUGUCAGGGAAGAAAAGGCUUUUGCUAAUACCAGGAGCUGAUGACGGUACCUGAAGAAUAAGCACCGGCUAACUACGUGCCAGCAGCCGCGGUAAUACGUAGGGUGCGAGCGUUAAUCGGAAUUACUGGGCGUAAAGCGGGCGCAGACGGUUUGUUAAGCAGGAUGUGAAAUCCCCGGGCUCAACCUGGGAACUGCGUUCGGAACUGGCAGGCUAGAGUGUGUCAGAGGGGGGGAGAAUUCCACGUGUAGCAGUGAAAUGCGUAGAGAUGUGGAGGAAUACCGAUGGCGAAGGCAGCCCCCUGGGAUAACACUGACGUUCAUGCCCGAAAGCGUGGGUAGCAAACAGGAUUAGAUACUCUAGUAGUC
rnacentral:rRNA from 1 species